UCGGAAUAACAGCGAGAAAUUGCUGCUAAUACCGGAUGAUGACGAAAGUCCAAAGAUUUAUCGCCCAGGGAUGAGCCCGCGUAGGAUUAGCUAGUUGGUGAGGUAAAGGCUCACCAAGGCGACGAUCCUUAGCUGGUCUGAGAGGAUGAUCAGCCACACUGGGACUGAGACACGGCCAGACUCCUACGGGAGGCAGCAGUGGGGAAUAUUGGACAAUGGGCGCAAGCCUGAUCCAGCAAUGCCGCGUGAGUGAUGAAGGCCUUAGGGUUGUAAAGCUCUUUUACCCGGGAUGAUAAUGACAGUACCGGGAGAAUAAGCUCCGGCUAACUCCGUGCCAGCAGCCGCGGUAAUACGGAGGGAGCUAGCGUUAUUCGGAAUUACUGGGCGUAAAGCGCACGUAGGGCGGCUUUUGUAAAGUUAGAGGUGAAAGCCUGGAGCUCAAAUCCAGAAUAGCCUUUAAGACUGCAUCGUUGAAUCCAGGAGAGGUGAGUGGAAUUCCGAAGUGUAGAGGUGAAAUUCGUAGAUUUCGGAAGACACCAGUGGGAAGGGGGUCAACUUGGGACUGGUUAUUGGACGCUUGAGGGUGCGAAAAGCGUGGGGAGCAAACCAGGAUUAG
rnacentral:rRNA from 1 species